CCUACGGGAGGCAGCAGUGAGGAAUAUUGGUCAAUGGACGAAAGUCUGAACCAGCCAAGCCGCGUGAAGGAAGACGGCCCUAUGAGUUGUAAACUGCUUUUGUACGAGGGUAAACGGAGAUACGCGUGUCUGUCUGAAAAUAUCGUAAAAAAAAGGAUCGGCUAACUCCGGGCCAGGCGCCGAGGUAAUACGGAGAGUUCAAGCGUUAUUCGGAUUUAUUGGGUUUAAAGGGGUCGGAGGCGGUAGGAUAAUUUAGGGGUGAAAUCUCGAGGCUCAACUUCGGAAUUGCCUCUGAUACUGUUCGGCUAGAGAGUAGUUGCGGUAUGCGGAAUGUGUGGUGUAGCGGUGAAAUGCUUAGAGAUCAUACAGAACACCGAUUGCGAAGGCAGCUUACCAAGCCACUUCUGACGUUGAGGCACGAAAGCGUGGGGAGCAAACAGGAUUAGAUACCCUAGUAGUC
rnacentral:rRNA from 1 species